UCUUCCGUGGGCGGCGGCUUCGCGGGCUUGGAGUUCGCGCGGCCGCAGGAGUCGGAGCCGCGGGCCUCGGACCUGGGGGCCCCCCGGACGUGGACGGGGGCGGCGGCGGGGCCCCGGACUCCGUCGGCGCACAUCCCCGUCCCAGCGCAGAGAGCCACCCCAGGAAAAGCCCGGCUGGACGAGGUCAUGGCUGCCGCUGCCCUUACAAGCCUGUCCACCAGCCCUCUCCUUCUGGGGGCCCCAGUUGCAGCCUUCAGCCCAGAGCCCGGCCCAGGUCAUGUUCCAGUGUCUGUGGAAGAACUGCGGGAAGGUGCUGAGCACGGCGUCGGCGAUGCAGAGACACAUCCGCCUGGUGCACCUGGAGGCAGGCAGAGCCUGAGCAGAGUGACGGUGAGGAGGACUUCUACUACACAGAGCUGGAUGUUGGUGUGGACACGCUGACCGACGGGCUGUCCAGCCUGACUCCAGUGUCCCCCACGGCCUCCAUGCCGCCUGCCUUCCCCCGCCUGGAGCUGC
rnacentral:sRNA from 1 species